rnacentral:lncRNA from 1 species
AGAUCUAAUAUGUUGUCUAAUUUCUACAUAUUAUAGGCAAUCGCAGAUCCGGCUGGCCAAGUUGCCGCCAAAUUCACUAGUAAUGUCUUCAGAUUUUCAACAAAAUCAUACAGUAGUACUUUUGGGAUCAUUUUGAACGGCUCCGGCACCAUCGCCGGACCAAGGCAGCGCAUUUUCAAAGAUUUCUCAAGCAACUUAUUUCGGUCAGGUUAGGAUUGACGGUUACCAAAGUGGACCCAUUAGUCUAUCUUGUCUUCUUUGUCUCCAGAACAAAUUGCUUCUCUUGCUUCGGAUGGAAAUGCAGAGCUACUUGGAUGAUCUACCUGGUCUAUUAAGGGCUCCUCUUCCAGAGACUACAUUACCAUAACCACCAGUAGCACAACGAGAACAAGAAUAACUGCUCAAAUUCCAAUCAUUGAGUUUCUGAAAGCCUUAUAAGAAUCUGAAGUGAUACGUUUCUGUACCAACGACCUACUUGGGAACCCUUCUCACUAUCGGCUUUUGGUGAACUACGAAUUUGUCAGAAAUUAGGGUUUGUUCUUGAAGAAAGACGAUGGAGUUUGGGGCUGAGC